UUUGCUGUUCGACUUGUAGCAGAGUUUAGAGUUUUUCUCACAGGUACAGCUCCCUGUGCUUGAUUCUGUGUGGAAAUCGUAGCUUUGAGCUGCACUCUUCUCUCUCUCGGUUCUCGUUUGGAGUUUUCUAAGAGGUAAAUACAUGCUGUCAAGCUCUAGCGUGAUACCUGUCACAGGAUAGGAAGCCAAUCCAAGUUUCACUCUAAGUGGGGAGUGUAGGUUGCUACAGUGUGUUUGGAGGGUGAUUCGACAGUACUUUUCCAGAUUUUCAGUUUGCAUAUCCUUCUUUCCAGCAGUUCUACUUCUGGGACUUGCGAUAUAGUUGUCUACAUGCAUGAGGAUGUUUACAUUGCAGCCUGUCUGUUAACAGAGGACAAAGAAACUGAACACAACUAAAAGCCCCUGGACAGUGUCCUGGUUAUGUAAAUUAUGGUACUUAUAAUCACUGGAAUACUAUGAAGCCAUUAACAAGAAUAGAACGGACGUAUGCCUCAAUUGACUGGGAAAUGCACUGUCCGAGGUAUAUUGUAGACUAGGUAUAGUACGCUGCUUUUCUGUAAAACAGAGGAUAUGCAUAGAGGUAGAAAGAAGCGUUUGUAUACAGUAUACGAUGUGUGAAUGUGAGCUCUUGGAAGAUAUCUGGAAGAACCACACAAGGAACUGGGGGAGUGGGACUUGACUGUUCCUUCCCGGUCCUGGACUGCUGGAAAUCUGCAGGCGAUGGCGUACACGCCCCCGUCUGCAUGAGCUGUGCUAGCGGCCUGCGGCGAGAGAGGGCGCCGUAGCCAGCAGAGUCCUGUUUCCUAGCGGAGCAUCUCAGGCCUCCGGCGCGGUGACGUCCUGGGGACGGGCGGUGGCGCAUGCGCGGUUGGAAGGCUGCUGGGCGCCGAGCGGGCUGCUGCGCGGGCGCUUGCGGGCCGGGCUGUUUUUCCGGCAGCGAGGGCGCUGGAGUGGCGGCUUUGGCGCUGUUGGCGUUGGGUGGUGGGCCUGUUGGGGCCCACGUGAGCCGAUGGCAUCACGCCCGCGGCGGCCGGGGCCAGGGGCGCGUCUUUUCCAGACUUGGCACGUCCAGGAGGCGGGGCGGAAACCACAUCCCCGAAAGAAAUGAAGCUGUUGUCAUUUCUGGAAGGAAACUUGCCCAGCAGAUCAAGCAGGAAGUGCGGCAGGAGGUUGAAGAGUGGGUGGCAUCGGGCAACAAACGGCCCCACCUGAGCGUGGUCCUGAUCGGCGAGAAUCCUGCAAGUCACUCCUAUGUCCUCAACAAAACCAAGGCAGCUGCAGAUGUGGGAAUCAACAGUGAGACAAUUGUGAAAGCAGCUUCAAUUUCAGAGGAAGAACUGUUGAAUUUAAUCAAUAACCUAAAUAAUGAUGAUAAUGUAGACGGCCUCCUUGUUCAGCUGCCUCUUCCAGAGCACAUUGAUGAGAGAAAGAUCUGCAAUGCUGUUUCUCCAGACAAGGAUGUUGAUGGCUUUCAUGUAAUUAAUGUAGGGCGAAUGUGUUUAGACCAGUGUUCCAUGUUACCGGCUACCCCAUGGGGUGUGUGGGAAAUAAUUAAGCGAACUGGCAUUCCAACCCUAGGGCAGAAUGUGGUUGUGGCUGGAAGAUCAAAAAAUGUUGGAAUGCCCAUUGCAAUGUUACUACACACAGAUGGGGCGCAUGAACGUCCUGGAGGUGAUGCCACGGUUACAAUAUCUCACCGAUACACUCCCAAAGAGCAGCUGAAGAAACAUACCAUUCUUGCAGAUAUUGUGGUCUCCGCUGCAGGCAUUCCCAAUCUGAUCACAGCAGAUAUGAUCAAGGAAGGAGCUGCAGUCAUUGACGUGGGAAUAAAUAGAAUUCAAGAUCCCAUAACUGCUAAACCCAAGUUGGUUGGAGAUGUGGAUUUUGAAGAACCUACCUUUGCAAAUCAUCUAAAUCAUCAACGAAAAACACGUGAAUGAGUGCUGGGCUGCUUCCCUUCCUGGAGGAGGACAGUAAUUAGGGACCAGGGGAGUUAUGGUCUGUCACUACCAUAAGAAGAUAGUUUAAUUGCCACCAGUCACAUGGAUCUGCCUCUGAACAGCUUUCAUCUACAAAAGGCCAGAUCAUGCUGAGAGAAGAUGAGGUCCAGCAGCCUUCGGACGAUGAUGAGGCCCAGGAUCUGUGGUGCGAGUUCAGAGAAAACCCUGGGCUCAAGGCCCCAAACUCAGGCAGUUUUUCUCUCUCAGUCAGCUGUGUUUAGGGACUUUUCCUGGUCAGUGUCUCUGAAGCCAUCUCAAAGCUCCCACAAACCAGUAUCUACCUCCUACCCACUUUGGCUCUUCUCGUCUGGCCUUUCCUCAGUCGAGGGACAAUGCCUACCAGUGACUCAGACGUUCAGAGCCUGCAAGAGCUGAGGCGGGGAGCCAGAUGGAGAUCAUGGCUGGAGAACUACAGUCAUUCUUUAAAUCAGUGGUUCUCAAACUUGAGCUUAGUGGGCUGUUAAUACACUGCAGGGUGCUGGCUGAGUUUCUGAUUCAGCAGGUCUGGGGUGGGCCUGAGAACCUGCAUCUCUAACAAGUUUCCCAGGAGACGUUGAUGCUGCUGGUUUGGGGAUCACACUCUGAGACCAACUCCCCGUCUGCCCCCAUUUCUGAGAGCUGCCAAUCCUUCUGCUAACAAAAACUGAAUAAAGUAUACCGGGAUAUCUGGAAUUUCUAAAGGAAAGUCUAGAAAAUUUGGUUGUGUUCAGGAUAAACAAAGGGAAAAACAUGUGCUCUUUGGGGAAGAUUAAACACUGUCCUUUUAAUAAACUCAUGGGUCCAGGGUAGCUAGUGAUAAAUAUUGUCCUUUCCCCACCAAGAGCUGGCCACUAAAUGAGGUCAGGGAGAAGACCGCCAGCUGGAUAAACACUGGUCCCUCGCUGACACUGCGUCUUGACACUACAAGCAGCGCUCAGGAGUUGGACAGACCUGGGCUUUAAAAUUCCUGGCUCUGAAAACAGAUUAGUGGGUGCUGGGGACAGGGGUUGUCUACAGAGGGACACCACGAGGGAGUUUCAGGGGUGAUGUCCUGUAUCAUGACUAUGAUGGUGGAAUCACUCCUCUGCAUUUGUCAUGACUUAGAACCACAGAAUGAAUUUUACUGCAUGUAAAUCAAAAAAAAAAAAAAAAGCAAUAGGGGAGGGUCUGGAUCUUGGCUCUGCUCCUUCCUGGUUGUGUGACUUGAGUCCCUUACACAUGCUCUCUGACCCUCAGUCUUCUCAUCUGUAAGAUGGGGUUACUAGUGUACUUCAGGGCUGGUGUGGACCCAAUGCAACAGCACUCAGUACAGGCUUUUUUUUUUUUUCCACUGAGGAAGAUUUGCCCUGAGCUAAUACCUGUGUCAGUCUUCCUCUAUUUUGUAUGUGGGUCGCCACCGCAGCAUGCUCACUGACGAGUGGUAUAGGUCCGUGCCUGGGAACCGAACCUGGGCUGCUGAAGCAGAGCGCACUGAACUUAACCACUAGGCCACGGGGCCAGCCCUAGUACAGGCUUUUUAAUGGCACCUAUUACUGUCCUUUCACCUCUGAGCCCCAUGAGGGCACUGCUGGGUGGGUCCAUUUCCCUUUCCCUGGAAUGGUGGUUCUCAAGCUUGGCCGCACAUAUGUGCUCACCUGUAGAUGUACUGCAAAUACCAAUGCCUGGGUUUCUCCAGGAGAUUCUGAUUUAAUUGAUCUGGGGUGAGGCCUGGGCACAUGUAAUUUUAAAAAGCUCCCAAGUGACUCUAAUGAGCAGCCAGGGUCAAGAAUCAGUGACUUCGAGCCCUCCCAAGAGGGCACAUUUCAAGCCCUACCUCCCUGUCCUCACUUUGGCCCCUAAUCCAGCCCUGCAGGCUUGGGGUCCCCCCAGGCCUUUCCCCAAGCAUUAGCCCACAGGCUCCAGUCCCCUCUGCCACACCCCCAGCAGGGCCUGGGGCCAGUUCCCUCUGCUGGGGUCAUCAAGGGCCAGAUGCAACAUGUUGGCUUUUCUUCUUUUCAGUUUUUAUUUUGCAAUAAUUUCAAACUUACAUAAAAUUUCAAAAAUAGUCAAAGAACUGCCAUAUAUUUUCCCCAGCUUCACCAAAUGUCACCUUAAUGACAUUGGACUUUGCAGUUCUUAAUCUCUGAUUCUAGUUCUCUCCCCACUGCCCCCAUUUAUCUUUUCAAAUUCAGUUAUUUUGAAUGGUGAAAAGAUUUAUAGUUAGUAAUGACCUAGUUCUGCGCUUGGUUUGAAUUCUGGCAGUGGGCAACACAGUCUCCUUGUGGAAUUUGCCCAGCUCCCCCACCCCGCCCCAGAGCCAGGAGGGUGUGUGGCUUCCAUGUUCUCGCUGAGCUGCCCCAACCUGAGCUGGGUGCGGCUGGGCGUGCGGGCUGUCACCGCUGCACCUGCCCACCACACACAUUCUUCCCCCUCCCUCCUCUCCAUUUCCCCUGCUCCACCUGGCCUGGGCUCACAACCUGAAUCUUGGUCUGUGCCUGCCUCUGUGACCGCGAGAGAGUCAGGCCAUCUGGGAGGAGAAGGCAAGGGCGGACCUCCCAGUGGACACCUGCCUAGGCCUCAUCCAGCCAGCAGGAGGGGGAGCCCGCGCCCACCUUACCAUGACGGGGAAGAUGAUGGCGGCCACGGUGGACUUGAGGAUCCAGAGCACCGCCAGGCAGAGUAUCUGCACCAGGGUGAAGAGGUGGAUCCGGCGCAGCGGCACGUGCCGCAGGAAGGCGUGGUCUGGCUGGUGCUUGGCCGGCAUCAGGAAGAGCUUGCAGCGAUCCCAGAACUGCUGACCUGCGGGUCACACUGUGAACAAGGCUGCCCUGCCUCGCUCCCAGGGCUGUCGUGCUGGAAGUCUUGGGAGAACACAAAGUACUCUGCCCAACUUUUAGACGCCAUUGAAGAAUGUCAAUAAAUCCAACCAAUAAAUAACCUCUUUUUUAAAAUAAAUUAGA